rnacentral:rRNA from 1 species
AGAUUGAACGCUGGCGGCAGGCCUAACACAUGCAAGUCGAGCGGUAGAGAGGUGCUUGCAUCUCUUGAGAGCGGGCGGACGGGUGAGUAAUGCCUAGGAAUCUGCCUAGUGGUGGGGGAUAACGGUUCGGAAACGGACGCUAAUACCGCAUACGUCCUACGGGAGAAAGCGGGGGACCUUCGGGCCUCGCGCCAUUAGAUGAGCCUAGGUCGGAUUAGCUAGGUUGGUGAGGUAAUGGCUCACCAAGGCGACGAUCCGUAACUGGUCUGAGAGGAUGAUCAGUCACACUGGAACUGAAGACACGGUCCAGGACUCCGUACGGGAGCAGCAGGUGGGAAUGUUAGGACAAGUGGGACGAAAGCCUAGACUCCAGCCAAUGACCCGCGUAGUGGUAGAAGUAAGGUCC